rnacentral:rRNA from 1 species
CGCGGCCUAUCAGCUUGUUGGUGGGGUAACGGCCUACCAAGGCUAUGACGGGUAGCUGACGUGAGAGCGUGAGCAGCCACACUGGGACUGAGACACGGCCCAGACUCCUACGGGAGGCAGCAGUGGGGAAUAUUGCGCAAUGGGCGAAAGCCUGACGCAGCGACGCCGCGUGGGGGAGGAAGGCCCUAGGGUUGUAAACCCCUGUCAGGUGGGACGAACCCCGGGUUGGUUAAUAAUCAGCUCGACUGACGGUACCACCAGAGGAAGCUCCGGCUAACUCCGUGCCAGCAGCCGCGGUAAUACGGAGGGAGCGAGCGUUGUUCGGAAUCACUGGGCGUAAAGGGCGCGUAGGCGGCCGAGUAAGUCGUGUGUGAAAGACCGGGGCUCAACUCCGUGUACUGCAUGCGAUACUGCCCGGCUAGAGUAAGGUAGAGGCGAGUGGAAUUCCCGGUGUAGCGGUGGAAUGCGUAGAUAUCGGGAAGAACACCUGUGGCGAAGGCGGCUCGCUGGGCCUUUUCUGACGCUGAAGCGCGAAAGCGUGGGGAGCAAACGGGAUUAGAUACCCUGGUAGUCCACGCCGUAAACGAUGGGCACUAGGCGUUGGGAGGAUUGACCCUCUCAGUGCCGUAGCUAACGCGUUAAGUGCCCCGCCUGGGGAGUACGG